rnacentral:misc_RNA from 1 species
GGAGGGGUCUCACUGACAGGUGGGCCCGGAAAAAGCGGGGUCCCCGGCGAUGCGACGCGCCACCGGCGAGCGGCAGCGGCGGCGGCGGGGAGUUCAGGCGUAGAGGACCUGAGCGUUGCACGGGGCGAGGCCGGCGAACUCGGCGGGGCCCUUGACGACCUCCCAGUCCACCCUCUCGUCGUCGCCGCCGUGGAUGGCCGGAGAAGGGGAGACCGUGCCUAUGGCGACGUCGAGGCCGGCGCCCACCACGUAUAUCCGCCGCCUGCCGCCGCUGCCGAC